rnacentral:rRNA from 1 species
UACGUAGGGGGCGAGCGUUGUCCGGAAUUAUUGGGCGUAAAGAGCGUGUAGGCUGUUCGGUAAGUCUGCCGUGAAAACCUGAGGCUCAACCUCGGGCGUGCGGUGGAUACUGCCGGGCUAGAGGACGGUAGAGGCAGGCGGAAUUCCGGGUGUAGCGGUGGAAUGCGUAGAGAUCCGGAAGAACACCGGUGGCGAAGGCGGCCUGCUGGGCAGUAGCUGACACUGAGGCGCGACAGCGUGGGGAGCAAACAGG